rnacentral:lncRNA from 1 species
UUUUUUUUUUUUUUUGAUACACAAUCAGGAAAUAUAUUAACAGCACCUGCCGCCUAGCAAAAGGGCGCACCAAAGUAUAAAAAAUGCAUACAAUAGGUGUCUAAAGGCAUAAUACUACCAUGAGACUAGAAACAUGCAAAUUAAGUUUAUAUAUGUAGAAUACUUUUUUUUUUUUGAUAGGUAAAACUCUACUUCUUUUUAUAUAUCUAGAAUACAUAUUACUACAUUUGAAAAUAAUAUUUUCUUAGUAAAUUAAUAAAAACACUAAGGGUCUAUUUGGUAGUGGAAAUGAAAAUGGUUUUCCAAAAACUUCUCGUCUUCAAAGACGAAGACAAUCAACAUGUUUGUUUUUGGAUUAUUCAAUCAUCAAAGUGCCUAUAUUCCGAAAAUGUCAAAAAGUAUCUUAACAUUUUCUAAAAAUGAACCAUAUUUAGAAGAUUUUUUUGGAAACAUGCUACCAAAUAUGUUUUCUGUGUGAUUAAAUUUUUUUCAGCAGAAAAUAGUACUUGUUCAUAGUACCAAACAGGCAGCAAGCUUUGCUUAAACUUCAGGAGCUUGUAGUUUCAAAAAGUAAGUUUUGAUAUCUUUUUUUUAAUAUAUAAGUAAAGAAGAGUAAAUAGAUUAAAAAGAGGCACCAAAAUAGUGACCCAUGAAAUACAAGAUAAAUACACCCACCCUCACACAACUCAAACAAAAAGAGUUGCCAAAAUGGAGGUACAAAAAACAUAUAUAGAAUUGUAGGAUUUUAUUUGUGCGUCUCUACACUAGUGUUCCAGCAACUUGUAAAGUAAGAUAACAUGAAACAUGUUGGAUUUGCAUUCUCAUAUCUGUAUGCAAAUGGUUUAUUGAAGCCAAAUUUUACAACAUUAUGGCAUAUUCCCCAGAACAUUUUAUUUAUCUUAUCCAAUGAUCAAACCUUUUAUGCAUCUCGUUUCUCUAAGACAUGUAGCAUGUCUCCAAGCCAACCAGAUGAAAUCAUCAGCAUAAUAGGGGCAACCUCUUGACCAGAUUGAUCUGUGCAAAUUACUUUCAGAAAGUUGCAUCUACAGUAAUAUGCUACAUUUCCAAGCAAAACAGGACAUAGAAGCUACCUAGUAGUGUGUCUUUUUCAGAGGAAACUGAAUCUGUAUUGUAAAGGUAUAUGUACAAAAGAACAAACGAUGAGAAGCCUUUGGGGCUGAUUUUCUCUGCGAGGACCCAUCUGUCGGAGGGCUUCAUGAACAUAAUUAGCAAACCCAAAUAAAUACCACUUGCAAGAACUAAGAAGUGGUUUCAUCAUGGAAGCCAUAUUUAUUAUUAUGUUUUUAAUAUCUAUAAAAUUCAAAACUACUCAGAACCGUUCUCUUUUAUCUUCCAUUUAUAAUAAUUUCUGUUUAAAAAUAAAUAAUAAAAUGAGAAUGCAAUGCUAAGGCCAUAUGCAUCAGCAAUACCAACUGCCAGGCUUCCUGCCAUUUUCUCAUGAAAUUAAUAAGCUAAAAAUCAAAGGUAGAAAAGGCUGAGAUUCAAAAUAGGACACACACAUGCACAAUUUCAAUGGCAAGGUAAAGUAUUGACAUAAAAACAUAGUGAUUGUUAAGUUAUUGGAUUAAAAAGAACAUGUUCAGAGCAACUGUGGUGUGAUAACUGCAACUAAAUGAGGAUUCAUGUUUUCAAAAAAGGGAUAAAAAUAAAGGAAAGAAAGAAGAAAAGCAAACAUGUUAGUAAAAAGGCACCGAGAUAUGAUGAUAACCUUGUAAAAAUAUAGGUAAAAUAAGUUGAACUUGCACAUCAUAAUGAAGUUGAUAUUGCUGUUUGCUUUCUCCUCUUGUAACAAGUUAUUUUGUUGCCACAUAAACAUAUGAAAAAUACAAAAAAAUAAAUAAAUAAAUAAAUAAAAUAAGAAGAAGAAAGAAGACGCCGAAGAAGAAGAAAACUCACUCCAAUCGCUAACAAAGUGAUAUACUAAUCAAAAACAAUGGCCACCCACAAAAACUAUAUAUCAAUAAGAAAGAGCUUUUCCCAGAUAUUACUCACCCAUAACUUUUGGAAACUUCCUAGGAUUUGCAAUGCAUGCCUCCAAAAGAAUGAUAAACGCCUGUACCACUUCCUACAGAAGUGAACCAGAGCUGCUUUAAAUGAUUCCUUGGCUGAUACUGGAAAACUAGCCCGUGGCUCCUCUUUAUCAAUUUUAAUGACUGCAUCAUCAACUGCUGGCUUAGAGCUUUUACUGUUGGUAGAGCUUUCUGCUUGAGGUUCAAGGUGUUCUGUAUCACUUCUCCAAAAUUUCAAUGCCAAUUUGCCCCUUCUAGCACCUGAACCAAUCCAAUUUAACCAAACCUUCGCAGCCAAAAACGUCAAUCCAUCUCCAUCCACAUUAACGUUCAAAUUGUCAGUAACAGUUUCCUUGUCAGGAACAUUGAUUGCUUUAUAUUCUGACUCAUUUCGUGACCACAGGCCAGCACUAGUUAUCUAACCCAAUAGGAAAAGGUGGUUAGCAUAUGCAUCAUAGCCAGUAAAAUACACAUUAGAAUCUCAAAAAUAAGUCAAAAGGUCUGUUAAAAACAAAAAGAUGCAUACUUGUCCAUGUCUCUGAAUAACUAUAAUGAUUAAUGAUGAUUUAUGAUGAAAGGGUUAACCAAAAAAUAUUGAAUAAACUAAAUAGAUGAGCAUAGUUAUGGCACCCAAUUUGAGUUUCAAAUAAAGCAAUCCCCAAUAAUCCCAUAAACUAACAAAAAACAGCAGGAAUUAAUGAAAAUUGAAUUAAGGUAAGCUUGGAAAUUUUAAUUCAAAAAUUUAACCAUCAGUGGUGGAUUCUCCAACCCACCAACUAAAGUUUAGGUGCAAAGCAGCUCAACUUCUUUGGGAAGUAAAUUGAGAAAUUUGCAAGCAAGAAAUACAAAAGAAAGGAAAAAAGGGAAAUAGGUAAAAAGAAGAAGCUUAAGUUACAAUACCUAGUAGAUCAUAUACCUUAAUUUGAAUGAGCUGGGCUUCUGUUGUUUCAACUCCAGAGAACUCACUGGAACAACCAGGCUUCAUACACAGAAAAAUUAAGUUUUAAAUUAGAAGGUUCAAAACCUAUUAGAAACAUAUCAUUAUGGAACAAAAAAUGGAAAUUGGCAUGAUGAAAAUUAGGUAGAAAGUAGAAUGCAUCUACAGAAACCUCAACCAGUUAGUCUCAAAUUUUCCAAUCUCAAACAGCAAGACCUAAACAAACUCAGAAAAAAAAAAAGGAGCGUAUUCAGACUAGGGGCCUUGCAAAUUCAUCAUUCUGUUAUUAUUAAUUUGAAUUAUAUUCCUAUUUUCUGCUAUCUUUUACGAGACAAAACAUUAACAGCUGAAUCAUAACCUUGGAUCAUUUGUACCAUUAUCAUUAGCUACAUCUAUUUUGAAAGAAAGAUAGUCCUAUAUAGCACUUUUCCAGCAAGGACAUGUUUUUCAUGGCAUGGUAGUGCAGAAAAGCCCCUUCUAGAGAGAGAGAGAAGAGAUGGGGCAGGUACUUUUUAUUUUUUAGCCCACUUGGAAAGCAACAGAAUAUAUCGUCCCCAAGAUCCUUUUCUUUUCUUUUCUUUUUCUUUUUUAAUCUUUUUUUGACUGUUGGGUGGAAUAGAACCUCUAGGCCUCAAGGGGCAUCCAAAAGCUCGGUUUUUUAAGCCCAAAAACAACCAAAACUACAGGUAAAGCACGAUCAAAUGAUUGUUGGAAACUUAUGUACCAAUUUCUUAAUGCCUAAACACAGCCAAAACCAAAUGCCAAGCAUAAUUAAAUGAUUUUUGGAGGGUUACUUAUCAAUUCACUCUGAUAACAGAACAUACUAUUCAUCAUUUCCAUGUUUUUUUGAGCCUCAAAUGCAACUAAAAACUACAUGCAAAGCACAAUCAAACAACUUCCAGCUGCUUAUCCACCAAAUUCGCACUGGCAACAGAAUAUACCAUCUCCUAAAUAAUUUCUCAAGCCUAAUUACAUCUGAACCAGUACGGAAAUAAUUAUUAACAAUUCGCCAGCCCCAAAUAAUAUAUACAAUCCCUAAAAUCCAAUUUUCAAGCCCCGGCUACAAAGGAAACAAUACACAAAGCAUGGUUAAUCACUGUUUCAGUUUCUCAUUUUCCAAAGCUGGUCAUCCCAAUUAAUAAACCUCAAACCCCCAAAAAAAUUCCAAUUUUCCAAAUUGCGAGAAUUCAAUAAUGCAAAAUUACUCAAUUAAGCACAACAAACACACAACACAAAAACCAAUUGGAAUCACAAUCGCAAUAACCUUAAAUUUGAAAAACAACAAACUUUUCCAACAAAACCCAUAAAUAACAAAUAAAUUAUAAAAAAAAAACUCCAACAAGCACCUGUUGGACGUAAUUGGCGUGCAUAACAACGAGAAUACAAAAGAGAGUGAUGGCCACAAAGAGGUAAAUGUAUUCGAGAGAAGCUCUGACUCUGGGAGUCAGCAUCUGGGAGAAGCGCUCCUGAACCCUAAUGAAGGUCUGUUCUGGAUCCAUCUCUGCCUCUCUCUCUCUGUCAAACUGCAGGGCUUUUCCUCUUGGGCAUGUGCCCUAGUUGUUUAGGGCUAGGGUUUGCAAAAGAGAGUGAUAAAAGAAGCAGUCUAUGUGCGCUUUGAGGAUGCAGGGUUAGGGCGUUGAAGAGGUCGCAAGGCGUUGAAGAAGAAGAAGAAAGAAGAAGAGUAGUGGGGCCGUGGGGGCGUUUUCUUGCUUUUAUUGUUGCCACGUGGCGACUAUGAGUUGCAAAGUUGUGGGACCCACUGUUUUGUGCCAAUCCCUUCUCAUUUUAUUAAAAAAUUCUUCAGUUGUUAAGAGUAGCUAAUUGAGAGUGUUCAGUGAUAGCCGUGAUUCUCCAUCAACUGUGUAUGAAGUUGAAAGCAAUGUUUUAAAAAAUUGGAAUAGAUGAUUGAACCGCAUGGAAUCUGUCACGUGAUAAAUAUAUUAAUUUUAUAUUCUUAAAAUUAUAAAAAAAAUUAAUAUAUUUAUCAAAUUAAAUCAUGGAUCAAUAAAAUUUACUAAUAUUUUAAAUUCUAUUAAAUAAAAUAAGUAUAAUAUUUAAAUUUGAAAAUAUAUACUAAAAAUGAAAGAAAAUUUUUCUUAUAUGUAGGAAGUUAUAUACUUAUAUGCUUGUAAUUCUAUUGUUUUAUAAUUCUAAAAAAUAAUUAUAUAUAUAUAUAUAUAUAUAUAUAUAUGUAUAUAUAAUUAUUAUUAUAAUUUUUUUUAUAAAAAAAUUAUGUUAUUUUAUUUAUUAUUUUGUAGAUUUAAGCCAUACAACAUAAGUUGACUAGUGGAGUCUUCUUCACCCCUUUAAUCAAAGUUGAAGCUCCCACGCAUUACAUUUGGUGGACUUUUCAUUAAAUGGUCCAUUAUCCCCGUUGUGAAGCAAAAGGUUUAGGUGGACCAUUAUCCAAAAAAGAAAAAAUAACUUAAAAGAUACACUGAAUCAGUUCAAGAUCCAAUCAAUGAUUUCAUCAAUUGAAUUGGUCAAUUUAAUUCGAUUUUCAAAACAUUAGUUGAAAGUUUGAGAUAUUGUUAUGAAACUAUCUAAAUGUUGAAUUGACAUGUCUAAUUUGAUUUUUAAAACAUUGGUUGAAAGUUUGAGAUCUUGUGUCAUCUUGGGGAGCGGGGAGGGGUGGAGAAAUUCAAUUGCAAAAAAGGUAAGCGAUACAUGUGGAAAACCACUCAUAGAAAAUAAUGUUACCCAAAAACUUUGUGGAUGUAAAACUCAAAGGAUCAAGAGAUAAUAGAGCUCAAAUCUACUGGAUUGAAGAAAAGAUACACAGAAUUACUUGACAAAAGCCAUCUUUAAGGCUUACACCUCAUAACCUAUAUCAUUCUCAUUUUUGCAAUGAAAUGUCAUACAUGUUCCCUAGUGGACUCUUUAAUGCCUUGAGGUGAUGUGGAUCUCACUCAUGAACCCAAGAAAAAUUAAGAAGUAUUUUUGAGAGUAUCCAGAUACAAGAAAGCUAAUAAUCUUUCUUCCAAAAUUCGCAUAUAUAUCAAAAGUCAUCUUUAAGGCUUACACCUCAUGACCUAUAUCAUUCUCAUUUUUGCAAUGAAACGCCAUAUGUGCUACUUAGUGGACUCUUUAGUGCCUUUAGGCAAUGUGGAUCUCUCUCACAAACCCAAGCAAAAUUAUGAAACAUUUUGAGAGUAUCAAGAUACAAGAAAGCUAAUAAUCUUUCUUCCAAAAUUCACACAUAUAUAUAGAUAGAUAGAUAGAUAGAUAGAUGAAACCUUAGUAGGCCAAAAAAAUUUCAAAAACUAAAUUCCAAAAAUGGAAAAAAUUCUAGUGGACCAAUUUUUUUUCAAAAAACUAAAUUUAAAAAAUGGAAAGAAUUAAGAUAUCAUUGAAUUAAUUUUUUGAAAAUUCUACUACAAAUGCUUGAGUAUUGGGUAAGAGCGUUUGAGAGCAAGUUUAAGCUCUUGAGCAUAGGUUCGAGCACUUUAGUGCUCAAUCAAUUAUUUCUUUUAAAACAUAUAACUUGAAACUCAUUUUAAAUACCUUAAAGUCCACAUUAUGUUGCUUGUUCCAAAGUAUUAGCAUUUAUGAAUCUUUUUAUGCUUACCUACACUAUCUUUAAUUGAAUUUGUAGUUAUCUCAUGUUUUUAAUAGUGUAAGUCACAAGAAAAAAUAAAAAGUCUAAGGAUGAAAUGAACAAAAUUGUUAAACUUAAACUAAACAAUUUAAUGUACUAACUAUUUUCUCAUUUGGUAAUUUUGUAACAAAAUAUAGAUUAUUUAAACUUUUAAUACUCUCAUGCAAAGUUUGCAAAUCUCUUAAUAUCACUUAUCCAAACAAAUCAUCAUAAAAGUUGAUGAUCUCUCAAUGUCACUUGUUCUAAUCAAUCAUUUUAUAAUUUGAUCUUUAAUGUUCCCAACCCAUUAGACGACUUUUGAAGCAUGGAAGCAUGUGAUCUACACACACUAAACCAAGAAUACUUGUGAAAAGUAGCAUGUGGAAAUAGAUAAAUAUAUAAACCAAAUAAAUAUCAACAUCUAAACAAAUCUCUUCUUUUUUUUUGUCACAAAAUUGACAAUGUAAAAAAUAUAGAAUGAUAAACACAUGAGAGACAAUAAAAACAUGGAGAUAUAAGAUAUAAAUUAGUUCAAGAUACAAUCAAUGAAACAAAACAAUCUACCCAAAAUACAUCGAAAUCAAAACACCAAGUUUUGUACUAAGUAACUCAACCUCUUCCCCUAAGGCAAGAAUCGAGAUUCAUGUAAAAAGGUGUGAUAUUUUGGGUGUUGAUGAUAAGGUGGGUGAGUCAACAUAGACUUGGAAACCUGAAUAUGGUUCUAAAAAGGGCACUCAAUUCCUAAUGCCCUUAACUAACUAGUUAGGAGUCAAUGGCCUUGAUGUUUGCUACAUGGGUUAGAAUGGAUUAGCACCGUACGUUGCAUCCACCUAUGAAAAAAAUGGGAAUUGAAGAAAAAGAUUGUGACUGAAGUUCUAAGUUAAGCAUGGUGCUCCAAAGAUCCAUAGGCUCUUUUGACCUAAAGAUCAGUGAAGUUUAAAACCUUAAUGGCAAUGACUUUUAUACCUAGGUGCUAAUGAACUCUUCACCAAAGGUUAGUAAGGAAGAUUUUUUAGCAGGGGUGAUUUUCAGAAUCUUUGGGGAAUUUGGGGUAUUGGCCCUUAGCAUAUUGGACUUUGAACAAAGGAUUGAUGAAGGAACUUAAACAAAGCAAAUUGUCAAACUUAAACAAAGUAAAUUAUCUAAUCAAGCAUAUUUUGCUCCUUCUUCAUUGUACUUUGCUCAUUUUUUUCAUCAACAUUACUAGGGGGUUAGCAAUGGCUUUGUGGAGGGUGUGAUUGAUGUUAUAUCUUACAUGAUAAUAAGGGCAAAAAUCAUCUUAAGUUUGAUGUUAACAUUAAAAAUGUUUUCGAACUUGUUAAGUACAUGUUACCUUGUGUAUGCUCAAUUUUAUCACAUUUUCCAUUGGUUGUUAAUGUUUACAAGUAUUUUUCAUGAAUAAUUAUGAUAUUGGGAAGCUAUUAGAUUAUUUAGAAUGCAAUAAAGAGGUAUGAGUAGGGUCGAAGGAUCAAAGUGACAUGAAGAUCAAUGAUGUUGUCUUAUUUUGAUCAAAAUGUCAAGUCUUGAUACUUGAAAAUUAGAGUUUAGGGGCCCCUAUGAAGGUAUCUCAUGCACUUAAUGAUGGAAGUCAUUCUAAGUUAAGACAACCAAUAUUAAACCCUUAAUAUUAUAAUUUGGAAAGGGAAUAGGUAGUGUGUACUUUAAGAAAUUUGUAAAGAGGUCCAAUUAACAAGUACGUGGCGUUAGGUUAAAUUAAGUUGGGCUUGGGUUGAAAAUUCUCCAACUAAAAGCACCUAUAAGUAGUCUUGGUUGAGUUACCUUGAUUGAGGGUUUUUUUAUAGGACAAAGGGAGCCCAAAGGAUCCCCUUAUGGUUAACACUCUUUCAAAUUUUGCAUGUUAAAUUUUUAGGUCAAGUUCAUUUAGUUUUUCCUUUGUUUUAUAAAAAAAAAUCAUAAACCAUUUUCUCAAACCUUUCAAACCUUUUCAUCUCCCCUACAUCCUAUGAUCACCUUUUUGAGGUUUAACACCUAAUUCAUUGGGAUUUUGAAAACACAAUCAACUCUUUAUACUUAGGGAAUUGCAUUUUAACAUAAAUAUUAGGGAACAAUCAAGUUUUUGGCAUGGGAGAAUGCAUUAUAACGACUACAACUAAUUUUAGUAAAUGUUUAAUUGGUUGUGAUGUUAAUCACAACCUGUUGAAUUUUUUCCAGCUUCAUUUCCUUUUAUUUCAUUUUUUUUUCAAUUGUACAUAUUAGUUUCAAUUUUCCUUAUUCAAUCAUUUAGUGAUUUUGGUAGGUUUUUUGGACUGUGUUACUUGAGGUGUUGUAUGUUUGUGGCUAACUUAACUAGACCAAAUUAGACUAGAGAUAGUCAAGGCCGAUUGGUUAGAUUCGUAUCAACCCUUCCAGCAUAGUUGAAUAUGGUAGCAAUCAUGGUAAGAAUAAGGGGAAUGAGAGUUCUCAAAUUCAAACCCUUAGAGAUUACCUCCAACCACUAUGGCAAGUGCUUCUUCAUGCAUUGUAAUUCCUUAUAAUUCUUUAUCAUUUUAUAUAAUUAUGUUUGGUAUGAUUCAACUACUACCCAAAUUUUUAGGACAGGGAGAAUCCUUGCAUGAAUCUUAAAGAAUCUUUAUCAUUUCCUUUUAUUUCAUUUUUUGUUUCAAUUGUACAUAUUAGUUUCAAUUUUCCUUAUUCAAUCAUUUAGUGAUUUUGGUAGGUUUUUUGGACUAUGUUACUUGAGGUGUUGUAUGUUUAUGGCUAACUUAAAUAGACCAUAUUAGACUAGGGAUAGUCAAGGCCGAUUGGUUAGAUUUGUAUCAACCCUCCUAACCCUUCCAGCAUAGUUGAAGAUGGUAGCAAUCAUGGUAAGAAUGAGGGGAAUGAGAGUUCUCAAAUUCAAACCCUUAGAGAUUACCUCCAACCACUAUGGCAAGUGCUUCUUCAUGCAUUGUAAUUCCUUAUAAUUCUUUAUCAUUUUAUAUAAUUAUGUUUGGUAUGAUUCAACUACUACCCAAAUUUUUGGGACAGGGAGAAUCCUUGCAUGAAUCUUAAAUAAUCUUUAUCAUUUCCUUUUAUUUCAUUUUUUUUUCAAUUGUACAUAUUAGUUUCAAUUUUCCUUAUUCAAUCAUUUAGUGAUUUUGGUAGGUUUUUGGGACUGUGUCACUUGAGGUGUUGUAUGUUUGUGGCUAACUUAAAUAGACCAAAUUAGACUAGAGAUAGUCAAGGCCGAUUGGUUAGAUUCGUAUCAACCCUCCUAACCCUUCCAGCAUAGUUGAAGAUGGUAGCAAUCAUGGUAAGAAUGAGGGGAAUGAGAGUUCUCAAAUUUGAACCCUUAGAGAUUACCUCCAACCAUUAUGGCAAUCACUUGCAUAUUCUUAGUGCACUCUUGUAAAUCAUCCUAGCUUUCUCUUGUACUUGAACCAUCCUUAAGCUAGGUUGAGAGUUUCAUCUUUGUGUAAACUGAGUGUGAAAGCCUUCAAGUGGUUCAAAUCUUGAAGAGAUUGUGUAAGAGCCCAUUGGAGCCGAAAUCCAAGUGUAAGAAGAUUGAAAGAUUGAUUGAAGUUUCAAGAUUAGUGGAACCCUCACUCGGUUAGGAGAUUGAGGAGAGUGGAGUAGGCAAGGAAGUGUCGAACCACUAUAAACCCGAGUUUGAAUUCUCUAACUUUAUCUCUUUCCUUUAUUUAUUUUGUGCAUAUAUUAUUGUGUGGAAAAAGAUUUUGAAAAACCCAAUUCACCUCCCCUUUUGGGUAUUUUCCUUAAUUAUUCAUAGCCUUUGUUUUAUCAAAAACCAUUAUUGGAAGAUUGUUGGUCAAGACCAACAUCCUCCAUGACCAAAAUAUUGUGAGGAAUGAACUCAAAAGGUUUUCCUUUAUGAUUCAAAAUUGCACUUCUUUCCUAGGAAGGUUCAAUUAAAAUUGGUUAGCCCCUUCAUUGAAAAUCAAAAUUUCCCUCAUGGAGUUUGAUUACUACUCAAAAAGUGCUAUUUGAUAGCUUGUAAUUAAUCCUUUUAAACACUUUUGAGUAGUAGUUAUUGUCUUUUAACCCAAUUAACAUGUUAAGGACCCUUGCAAUCAUUUCUAAUCAAAUUGUGUAAGUUUUGGUGUUUUUGUUAGUAAUUUGAUCACCAAAACUAUCCAAGAUUGAGGAGAGUUAUUUGGAAUCCAUGGCAAAGCAAUGAAGAGCUCAAAUUCAUGAAGAACCAAGCUUUGGAGCUCCAUAGCCCUUUGCCAAAGUCGUUCAAAGUAUGCAAGGAAAGAGCACUGGAGAGAGGAAAAACAAAGUGAAGAAAACAGAGGAAAGCCAGCUGCAGUCUUCAUGUGCACUUUUGGAGCACUUCCCGAAGUCCAUUUUCUACAUUCUAUAUACCAUUUCAAAGCUCAGGAAGUCAAGAAUCUAAUGCUUCAAACGGUGUGCGAUUCGGAGUUGAAACGAAGAAGUUACAGCCAUUGCAAGCAGAUCACUCCAAAGUGUUGCGAAAUCAGCCUUUUGUUGCGAGAAUUUCGCAGCCUUUUUGUACAGUGCUAUGGAAUUCCUCCUGAAGCUACCCGAUACAUGCCGCAAGCUGGAACGCUGAGAACCUCAAGGUGGAAGCCAAUUUCGCAGCCCUGCGAGUUUAACUUGUUGUUGCGAAAAUAUUUCGCAGCCCUCUUGGGUGUCUGCGAAAUCUCGCAGACACCAUUUUCACCUGCGAAAUGGUUCCUGAAGCUUCCCGAUAUUUUCCACCGACUCUUUUGGAUAUUUUUCUUCAGAUAUUUUUGUAUAAAUUUCCAUUUUCUCCUUGUAUUCAACCUCUCAUGUACUUCCUUAGCUAGGAAGUAUCCAAGGAAGGGUAAAUUACCUUCCUAUAUAAACUCUCUUGUAAACACUCUCAGGAGACGCAGGAUCAUAUAUGUAAUCCAAUAUAUAGAAUAUACAGAGCCUUGCUUUGUUUUUCCUUCUCUUUCAUUUUUCAUUUCUUUUUCUUUCUAGCCAACCAAACUCUGAGGAUUUUUCCACAGAGGAUGAGAGGCUAAGCUUUUUGUCUCUUGGAGUGAGGAAAGCCGGGUAAGUUUCCACAUACAUAAUUUGGAAGUUUUGUUGUUUUAGUUUUUAAUGAAGAGAAAGUGUGACCCGUUAAUGGUUUUUAUCUUUUUAGUUAACUUAAAACGCCUUUAAAUCACCUGGGCCAACACUUGGUAAGGCAAGUGAUUUCCAACCAUGGAAAUGCACUAGUUUACCCCUUGCGAGCCUUUGGGAGGUGACUUGAAGGUAGGAUUUUCUAGAAUAGCCAACACUUGGUAAGCUUUUGGACUCCAAGGAGACAUCCAUUAGUUAUCUCUUGCGAGCUUUUGACGGGUAAUCCAAGGUUAAAGAUCAUCUUGAAUGGCAAGUGCUCGUGAGAGGCAUGAACCAUUGCAAGGUGCAUCAGUGAGAGGGAUUUAGUGUUUGAACCCAUUAAUGGGAAGCAUCUGUACAACACCGGUUAGAGAAUUAACUAUAUGUUAAUUCUCUAAUGCGAGGAAAAUAAACAAGUGACCGGAACUCUCCUUUUUGUAUGAGGAAUCUGAGCCUAGUGAUCUGAAACUCCAAGAAACACUUUUCUUUGUAAGUAAAAUCAGUUACUAUUUUUUGUUAGUUUAAAACCGAACUUUUUCCAUUUAAACAAGUUUAUGUUUUCUUUUAAAGCUAACCUUGAAAUGAAAAGGCACCAAUUCAGCUUUGAAUUAAUAUCAUUUGCAAAGUGAAAACUCAUCCCAGUGAACGAUCCUAGAGCCACUAUGCUAUAGUAGCUUUGUCUUUGCUACCCUAGUUCAUGGUGUAAUAGGUUAUAAAUUUUGUUGAUUACUCCCUCAAUCAAAGAGCACUAGCUGGACACGAAUCAGCUGAGACACCAAGUGGGCACGAAUCAAAUGGUGCCGCUGCUAGGGACGAAUCAGAGUUGUUGGGUUUCUAAAUUCCAAGAAUGGUAAUGUGUUCAAGGUUAAUGGCCAAAGAGUCAAGCCCUUAGUAGGAGUAAAGGAUGGGAAGGAAUUCCCCUUUGAAAAGCAAUGAAAUGGAGGCCAAUCAUUAGCCCAAGUGAGCUAAUUCCAAUUGUAUAUAAUUAGGAAGAUGGGGAGUAUGUUUCUUUUUUUUUUUCUUUUUUUAUGUGUUUAAUUUAUGUCAUGAUAUGCAUUUGGGUAGAUGUGAUUUUUUUUUUUCUCACCCUUCUCCUUUCUUGCUUAAGCUUUGUUUGUAAUAUCAUGCACCUUUCAACAAUUGUCAAAGGGUGGAGCAUAGCUAGGUUAGUGGGGAAGAGUUGUUGAACAAGGUUGAGGUAUUAAGGUUACACCUAGGUUAGUGCAAGUAUUUGUUAAUGUUGCACCUUCAUUUUAAGCAUGGUAUCACUUUUAGUUGCUUUGUUCUUAAGAUUUACUAUAAGUAGCUUGUUUUAGAGCGUUUUGUUUUCUUAUUAGUUUUUAAGAUUGACUACUCAAUCACUUUGUUUUGGUGUUAUUUAAAUUGAAAAUAAAUAAGAUAGAGGUGCUCAAGUAAUUUGAAACAACUUCAUAAGGAAGAGUUUUAUUUAUAUAUACAUUUUAUACUCCUUUGAAAUAGAUUAACAUAUGAUUUAAAGAAAUAUAUAUAUAAUGAGAUUUAUCAUUCAUUUAAAGCUAAAAUGAUGAUAAAUAAAUAGAUUAAGGGAAAAGAAUAAAUGAUAAAAUAUAAGGAUGACCAUUUUAAAAAAAAAAAAAUUCCACUUUGAACUUAACCAAGUCAAACCACCUUAAGUGAAAAAAAUACUUCUUGAUCCUCAAGUAAAUUAAUAAUAAUUUUAUCAUUACCAUGAUAUCAAUCUAAUAUUCCUUAUCCAAAUAUCUUAUCUUCUUAUCUAUUUCCAUUAAACUUAAUAAAAACAUUUUUUUAGAUAAACAAAAAUAAAAAUAUUAAAAAUACAAUUAAAACCAAAAAACUUAAAAAUUAAAAAUAUAAAAAUAAAAUACCAAUUCCCAUUACAAAUUAGAGUCUAUUUGGUAGUGA